ACCUAGAUCUGUGGGUUUUGUCUCCAAAUCUGGUGGAAUGUCUAAUGAGAUGUACAAUACCAUAGCUCGUGUAACAGAUGGAAUCUAUGAAGGCAUUGCUAUUGGAGGUGAUGUGUUUCCGGGCUCCACUCUUUUUGAUCAUGUUCUGCAGUUUAACAAUAUUCCAUAG